UAGUACAAUUUAUAUACUUUAAAUAAAAUACUCUUUGAAGAUUUUUUGUAAAUUACAUUUUAUAUUAAUUUAAGUCUAAAUAAAAGUUACUUUAAUUAUUGCCAGGUUGUGUAUUUUUGCAGGUCAAUUAUUUGGCACAAAUCGGAGUUAAAGACAAAGGAGAUUGUAUAUUUUAUUUGCUAAGAAUAGUUUUUUAAAAUGGCCUAGUUGUAAAAUUAAACUAUGCAGGGAGAGGACAAAAAAUUGGAAUAGAAAAAAUGUUGAUUGCAUAUGCUGCUAUUGAAACUGUAAAGUCAAAUAGGCAUGGCUUAUGCAGACAUGUGAUAGAGAUAGA